rnacentral:rRNA from 1 species
AGUGAACGUUGGCGGCGUGGAUUAGGCAUGCAAGUCGAGCGAUCGUAGCAAUACGGGAGCGGCAAACGGGGUAGGAAUACAUCGGAACGUACCCUCUGGUCGAGGAUAGCGUCGGGAAACUGACGGUAAUACUCGAUAAAGUCGAGAGACCAAAGGUUUACUGCCGGAGGAGCGGCCGAUGCGAUAUUAGGUAGUUGGUGGGGUAACGGCCUACCAAGCCUGAGAUGUCUAGGGGGUGUGAGAGCAUGGCCCCCACACUGGGACUGAGAAACUGCCCAGACACCUACGGGUGGCUGCAGUCGAGGAUCUUCGUCAAUGGGCGAAAGCCUGAACGAGCGACGCCGCGUGCGGGAUGAAGGCCCUUGGGUUGUAAACCGCUGUCAGGGGGAUGAAACCGCAAGGUUGACAGAGCCCAGAGGAAGCACGGGCUAAGUCGUG